CUCCUACUCCUGCUCCGCUUUCUCGGCCGCCACGUGGUGGCCGAGUGAGGGCCUCGGGGCGGUAC
rnacentral:miRNA from 18 species